rnacentral:rRNA from 1 species
UACAGAGGGGGCAAGCGUUGUUCGGAAUUACUGGGCGUAAAGGGCGCGUAGGCGGCCUGUUAAGUCGAACGUGAAAUCCCCGGGCUCAACCCGGGAACUGCGUCCGAUACUGGCAGGCUUGAAUCCGGGAGAGGGAUGUGGAAUUCCAGGUGUAGCGGUGAAAUGCGUAGAUAUCGGGAGGAACACCAGUGGCGAAGGCGACUACCUGGCCUGUUCUUGACGCUGAGGCGCGAAAGCUAGGGGAGCAAACGGG